ACAUGGGGGUGGGGUGAGAUGGGGAAUAGAAAUGAUUUCUUUGCAAAUUGAGAGACGUUAAACCUCAUAUUGCUACACUUAAUCAAAACACAAAUUUUAGCAAUAAAGUGCACAUAGAAGUCAAAUAGAUUCAGUUUCAUUAAAAAUGAAAGCUAAGGAGUUGCUCUAAUUUCUCAGGAACCAUUUCUCCUCUCCUUAUUAAGAUGCUGUCAGCAGACAGGAAUUCAUCUGGGCCUGCAUUUUUCUAUACUCAAGAAGGGAAGGAUUAGGCAAUAGAACUGUAAGCCAGCGCACAAGUCCCAGAAAUCACAGCACUGCAAAUAAUUUUUUAAAAAGUGAAAUAAAUCAAGUGACACGCCCUACAUACGGUUGUCACAUACAAGUACUUCCUAGGCAAUGAACAGCCUUUGCAAAAAGUUUAGAACCAACAAGAAAAAGCAUUUCAUCAGAGGGAAGAAUGAAUGCAUGCAUGUUAACAUUUGGGUGUAGGUGCAUGCAUGAAAAUCGAUAGCAGAAAAAAAUCACGAUGGCCUGGCCGUAUUAUCGUCACAAACAGCAGAAAAGAUACAAGAGAUAGAUGUGCUGACUUCAAACUAAUUUGACUCAAAAGAAUUGCUUGUGGAUUAAAGUAAAGAUGUUUAUGAAAUUUGUAAAGAUGUUAUUUUG